rnacentral:rRNA from 1 species
UACGAGAGGUGCAAGCGUUAUUCGGAAUCAUUGGGCGUAAAGGGUGCGUAGACGGCUUGUUUAGUCUGUUGUUAAAUCCUUCGGCUUAACUGAAGAUAUGCAAUGGAAACUGGCGAGCUUGAGUGUGGAAGAGAGAAGUGGAAUUCUUGGAGUAGCGGUAAAAUGCGUAGAUCUCAAGAGGAACACCAAUGGCGAAGGCAGCUUCUUGGUCCACUACUGACGUUGAGGCACGAAAGCGUGGGGAGCAAACAGG